GGCUGAGGAAAUGUUUUAUCAGUUUUUCCACUGUAAAGUUACUACUCUCCCUCCCUCCUUGGCUUUGGAAGCAAGUCAUUAAGUUCACCCAAGGGUUGAAAAAGUCUGCAGUUCAGAGGGUGGCCGCUUCCAACACUCAGUAAGCAGAAAUUUUCUGACCUCAGGAGUAACUCUGGAAGAAGAGUAGUAGACUUUCCUGGAGCUUCAUCUACAGCCUGAUGCCAUGAGGCAAACGGAACUUGAAAACAAUAUUCAAUUUUAUAAAAGGGGAAAUAACAACAAACUACAGUUUCUGUAACAGAUUACCAAAACAAAACUUCACAAAACCCCAUUAAGUAGGAGUUACAAGAAAAGAUUUAUCUUCCAUCUCCAUUAGAAGAGUGGAGUGGGGUAGGACAGCUGUUCAUCAGAGGGUCAAUGCCUCAGAGAAGGAAAUAUAUUUAUCCAAAAGAAACAUGGAUUAAAAUGGUCAGAGAAUUCUCCAAAGAAGAUAUUUAAAUGAACAAUAAGCACAUGAAAAAAUGUUCAACACUGUUAGCCAUUAGGGAAAUGCAAACCAAAACCACAGUGAGAUACUACUUCAUACUCAGUAGGAUGGCCACAAUCAAAAAGACAAUAACAAGUGCUGAUAAGACUGUGGAGAAACUGGAACCCUCAUACAGUACUGAUGGAAUAUAAAAUGGUACAGCCACUACAGAAAAGUUGGC